rnacentral:rRNA from 1 species
GAUGAACGCUGGCGGCGUGCCUAAUACAUGCAAGUCGAGCGAACAGACGAGGAGCUUGCUCCUCUGACGUUAGCGGCGGACGGGUGAGUAACACGUGGAUAACCUAUCUAUAAGACUGGGAUAACUUCGGGAAACCGGAGCUAAUACCGGAUAAUAUAUUGAACCGCAUGGUUGAAUAGUGAAAGACGGGUUUGCUGUCACUUAUAGAUGGAUCCGCGCCGCAUUAGCUAGUUGGUAAGGUAACGGCUUACCAAGGCAACGAUGCGUAGCCGACCGGAGGGGGUGAUCGGCCACACUGGAACUGAGACACGGUCCAGACUCCUACGGGAGGCAGCAGUAGGGAAUGGUCCGCAAUGGGCGAAAGCCUGACGGAGCAGCGCCGCGUGAGUGAUGAAGGUCUUCGGAUCGGAAUACUCUGUUAUUAGGGAAGAACAGAUGUGUAAGUAACUAUGCACGUCUUGACGGUACCUAAACAGAAAGCAACGGCUAACUACGUG